rnacentral:rRNA from 1 species
UACGGGGGGGGGCAAGCGUUGUUCGGAAUUACUGGGCGUAAAGGGCUCGUAGGUGGCCAACUAAGUCAGACGUGAAAAUCCCCUCGGCUUAACCGGGGAACUGCGUCUGAUACUGGAUGGCUUGAGAUUGGGAGAGGGAUGCGGAAUUCCAGGUGUAGCGGUGAAAUGCGUAGAUAUCUGGAGGAACACCGGUGGCGAAGGCGGCAUCCUGGACCAACACUGACACUGAGGAGCGAAAGCCAGGGAGCAAACGGG